rnacentral:rRNA from 1 species
AGUGAACGCUGGCGGUAGGCCUAACACAUGCAAGUCGAACGGCAGCACAGUAAGAGCUUGCUCUUACGGGUGGCGAGUGGCGGACGGGUGAGGAAUACAUCGGAAUCUACUUUUUCGUGGGGGAUAACGUAGGGAAACUUACGCUAAUACCGCAUACGACCUACGGGUGAAAGCAGGGGAUCUUCGGACCUUGCGCGAUUGAAUGAGCCGAUGUCGGAUUAGCUAGUUGGCGGGGUAAAGGCCCACCAAGGCGACGAUCCGUAGCUGGUCUGAGAGGAUGAUCAGCCACACUGGAACUGAGACACGGUCCAGACUCCUAAGGGAGGCAGCAGUGGGGAAUAUUGGACCAUGGGGGCAAGCCUGAACCAGCCAUACCGGGUGGGUGAAGAAGGCCUUCGGGUUUUAAAGCCCUUUUGUUGGGAAAGAAAAGCAGCAGGUUAAUACCCCGCUGUUCUGACGGUACCCAAAGAAUAAGCACCGGCUAACUUCGUG